rnacentral:lncRNA from 1 species
CCUGGAGAAGCUUGGAGUGUACACAAAUGAUCUCUAUUUCUCAACAUGAACUGCAAAAGUGCAUUCUGUAUGAUUCACUAUCAUUAACAAUGUGUAAAGCUUUCCAGCAGUAUAGAACAUUUUUGCUAAAGAAUAGACCAGGCUAAACCUCCUACCAAACAUAUACAGAAUGUUCCAGUGAAAUCCUAAAUUAUUCAGCACCUUUUUUAUGAAAUCAUAGGAAUGAUAAAAGGCCGACAGUAUAGAGAAAGUGGAUACCUCUUCAUCUUGAAGUAUUAAGAGCUGAUACCUUUUGUUUUCAUCUCUGUUGUCCCUUGGUCGACAUUUGUCAAUCACUUGAACCUUACAUGUCCAAUUUUGCAUUAGUUGUGAUCAUAUUGAUUGAAAAUCUUUCGAUCAUUUUAAGCAAUCUACGAUUAUAGGAUGUCAAAAUAAUAGUGUAAGUUCAAGAGAAAGCCUUUUCAAUAAUUUCAUUAUAUAUAUAUAUAUAUACACAUAUCCAUUUGCCUUUGAAAAUAAUAGUGUAAGUUCAAGAGAAAGCCUUUUCAAUAAUUUCAUCAUAGACAAUAUUAUAUGUCGAGUGAUCGUCAUUGUCGCCAACGGUAGAUGAUCUAAUUAAAACUUUAACAUUGUCGGAACUUUUGACUCUUGAUAAAGCAACACAUAAUUGACCAUAAGAGAAAACAGGCUCCCACAAAUAUAUACCAACAAAAUCUAAAGUUUGUCCUUAAGCUUUGUUUAUUGUCAUGGCAAAACAUAAUCGUACUGGAAAUUGAGUCCUUUUAAAAGGAAUCGGUAGUUUUUCAUUUUCUGAUGUCAUAAGCGGUAUUCGCGGAAUGAAGACAUGUGUAUCUUUAAAAUCACCGCUAGCUAUUAUUGCACGAAUGACAUUGGUUUUGAAAUCAUUACAUAUUAAUCGUGUCCCGUUACAUAAAUCUUCUGAAGAAUUCAUAUUUCUUAAUGGUAUAAUCGGACAAUUUUUCUUCAAAAUUAAUUUGUAUGGAGGUAAACCAACAGGAUUUAAAGUGUGUAAGAAAUCUUCAUACUCACUUUGAUCUUUUGAAUCAUUAGUUUCAUCUAUAGCAAUGUAAAUUUUUUCAGCGCUUGGAGAGAUCAACAUAUUAUUUAUUUCAUCAACAAAAUCAUUUUUGGUGGUUAAAAUAGAACGUGAAGUAAUAAAGGAUGGAUUUGAAUGACAUGUGUAUAAUUCAGGAUAAGUAACUCUAAAGAGCUGAUUUAAUGAUUCUUUUUCAGAAGUAAAUGGAAUAAUGAGAAAGGAAGGAAUUUCAAUUUUUUCACGAUUAUUUUUUUUUCUUGCCAUCACCAAUUUUCAUUAAAUAUUCACAAAAUGCAGGAUCCUUUUUGGUACGCAUAUUUUCCUUAAGUUGUAAUUUUUUAAGCUGAUUCCAAAUUUCAGAGCACAAUAAACUUUCACGAAUAAAAUUUUUCUUUUUUUCACUACGAAUAACCGGAAGAGUUUGUCUAAAAUCACCACUAAAAACUACUUUGUCAUCAAAAAUUGUAUUUAUUUUCAUUAGAUUUCUUAAAAGCAAGUCAAAUGCUUCAACAAUUUUCUUUUUCGCCAUUGAAAUUUCAUCCCACACAAUUAGUUUUGCAUCUCAUAUUAGAGACGCCAGCGAACUUUAUUUACUAACAUUACAAAUAAAAUUUUCAUCAAUAUCAAUUGAAAUUUUAAAUCUUGAAUGAGCAGUUCUACCUCCGUGAAGAAGCAAAGCUGCAACAUCAGAGCUUGCAGUUGUUAAAGCUAUUAAUCCUUUAUGUCUCACCGCAGCUAAUAAAGUGCAAUAAAGAAAGCUUUUGCCAGUUCCACCGAGACUAUCAAUAAAGAAUGUCCCUGAUUUAUUUGGUAUUAGAGACGCCAGCGAACUUUAUUUACUAACAUUACAAAUAAAAUUUUCAUCAAUAUCAAUUGGAAUUUUAAAUCUUGAAUGAGCAGUUCUACCUCCGUGAAGAAGCAAAGCUGCAACAUCAGAGCUUGCAGUUGUUAAAGCUAUUAAUCUUUUAUGUCUCACCGCAGCUAAUAAAGUGCAAUAAAGAAAGCUUUUUCCAGUUCCACCGAGACUAUCAAUAAAGAAUGUCCCUGAUUUAUUUGAGUAUACUCUAUCAAAAAUUAUAUCGUAUGAUUUUUUUUGUUCAGUAUUUAAUUUACUUUGCUAUAAUAAAUCUUGUUCACUAACAAUAAUAUUUCUUUCAAAAUGAACAUAUUUAUCUUCUCUUGUUGUUGAAGAUGGUUUAACAUAUUCUGAAAUUAUUUCAAACUCAUUAACAUCUCGACCCAUUGAGUGAAGAACGUCAUUUAUAUGAUUUAAAACUUUGUAGCGAAUUUUCCUAUUAUUCAUGGUUGAUAACUUUUUGAAAUCCUUGGACAUUUGAUCUUCGAAUUUUUUCCAUAAUUCUCUGAGAUUAUUUGGAUUACAAUAAAUUAACAACAUAGCAAAUAAUUGCCUUAAACUGGAUGACAUUUGAUAACCUGCAGCUUCAGUCAUGCAUUCAAUCAAAUUAUUAUCACAAAGUAAUAGUUCUCUUUUUUUUGCUGCUUCUCUAAAGGUAUCAUUUGAUAUUGACCAAAAAAAAUAUUUUGAAAAUUUGCGAUAUAAUAAAUUUAAGUCCCUAGCAUCUUUGUUUAAUCUAUUCAUUAAAAAAAACUCAGUUAACAUUAUUUUUCUAAUCAUGGGAUUAUCUACAUUUUUUUAAUACUAUCUGUACUCUUGAAAGAAACAAAUUGUUGCCCUUAAGAUGUAGUUGAAGAUGAUACACAAUUGAAUUUAUUUCACUAAUGGGAAAAGUGAAUAUUCUCCACGCAGCCUCUGGUGGUGAUACCCACCGAGCAGAUUGAUAUUCCUUUAUUUCAUCUAUCUCUAUGUUUGUGUAAUUAAAAUGUAUAUGAAAUGCUAUUUUAUCGUGUCCCUUACAAAUAUACUCAUACAUGUACUUUACGACUUUAAUGUCUGAACAAAUCUCUACAUUCAUAUGACAAUUGAACUUACAAAGUAAAAAUGGACUAUAAGGAACAACCCAUGUAUUAUCAAGAAAGUGUCCUCUAAUUUUCACAUUUUCACCAUCAUUUCGUCUUUUAUAAAUUGGGUAUGAAUUUUUUCCUUUAAUUGUAUGUUCUGCAAAACCUUUAGGAUAUUUAUGUUUACAAUAACCUUUUUUAUUCAUAUAAGAAUUCAUUGGAUUCAAACUACUGCAAGGACCAUGCAUCAUGUGUUGUGUAACAAGUGUGUAUAAAUAGGGAUUUGUUUUCUCAUCAGAUAACUCAGCACAGACAAAUUGAUCAUAUGCUUCGGGAGUUAACAAUUUAUAGUUCUCAUUAAGUAUAAUAAAAAAAUGAGCAUGUGGAAGUCUUCUAUUUUGAAACUCCACUGUAUACAUAAAUGCUGCCACUUUUCCAAAUACAUGUUUUUCAGUAUAUCAUUUUUCAACUCUUCCAACUUUGCUCUAAACACUCGAGUAACCAAAUCAGGUCUAUUUUGUGAUUCAUCACUUGAGAAAAGGUUUUCUUCUAUUUCAGGCCAAGAAGGAUUACAAGUUAUAGUCAAAAAUAUAUCAGGCUUUCCAAAAUGUUGUACUAAUGCAAUAGCAUCCAUAUAUCGCUUGUGCAUGUUCCUUGGGCCUCCAGUAAAGCUAAGAGGUAGUAUGCGUUUUCCUAUUUUUGAAGCUUCUCUUUCGCCACGUCGUAAUAUAUCUAAAAUUCCUUAUAAUACAUCUACUCUAAAUAAAUCUUGAUUAAAGGAAGCAAAGUCUAAUUUUGGCUUUCAAUUUUUAUCCAUUGAUCUACUAUGAAUUGUUGAAAUAAUCUUCUCGAGUGUAAGAUAAUAUUUUCAUCAUCUGUUAUUUGUAGUUUGUAACAAUAAUAUUCACGACAAGAAACGGUCUCUCUUUUUCGUUUUUCUUUUUGCAUAACUUCAGCUUCCAUACGAAGAAGUCCAUCAAUUGAAGACAUAUUCAUUAUAUUUGGUAAUUGUUCUUGCUCACAAUAUUUUAAUGUAGAUGAGCUGGAUGAAUGUUUAAUUUUUUUAAUACCACAAUGCCAACCAUUUUGAUCAUAUGGAAAUAAUAAAGGAUACCGUAAUGGAUCAUAACAGUCAUAAUAAUAAUUUAUUAAAUGACUUCUAUCACUUUUUGUAUAGAUUCAAAUAUGUAGUGUAGAAAUAGUAUUAUUAACAUCUUGAUCUACCCAUAUACCUGCAACUUCUGAUACAGUUGGUAUGUUAUAUAUUCGUUGAUCUAAACCAGAAUCACAUUUAAGGGCUAUAUAAAAAUCAGAUAGUUGUGGAACAUCUAUUAAAGAUUUCAAAAACAUAGAAUAAGGAUUUCUUUUUAAUAUGUCCAUUAAUUUUAUAACGAUACACUCAUUUAUUUUAUUUGAACAUGCCAUUCGAUUUCUUACCUCAUUUUCACUAUCGAAGAUACAAUUGCAAAUUUUUUUCCUUUUUGAUUUGUACGAAUUAGGUCAUUUAUGAAAUGAUACAUCUGUCCUUGAACUCGAAAAGUGUAAAUACCAUUAUUUCGUUUUGCUAAUUCUUUGGCAUAAGAUACACCGAGAGAGGUGAAUGCAAACAUAUUAUUGUAUGUUCUAAUAUAAGUUCGAAAAUAUUUUGAUUCCUCGGUAUUUUCUAGAUAAAGUUUUUUCAAUUGUAUUUCAUGUGUAGUUAAGUGGAUAGAACCAUUGGUACAACAAAAUGCAGGUGUCUCAAAUUCAAACUUUUUGGCUUUACAAAAUUCACAAUUUGAAACAGUAUUUAACUUAAUGUAACUCAUUUUUAAUUGCAAAGUAGUUGAGCUGCUAGAUUCCCGAAAAUCAUACCCUGUAUAUGAGAAUUUCAAAAUAAGGACUUAGUAAUUUUAGAAUAUAGUAUUAUUAUUAUUAUUCUUGAAUAUAUAACUAACUUUUUUAGUAAUAAAAAUUAGUUAUGAUUAUAUUUAUCUCUACCUGGUUUUGAUGAGGGUGUUGAUUCUCUUAUAAGAGAUGUUUGGCCAGCAGAGAAAUUCGUAGAAUUGCUGGAGGAUGCAUUAGCCAAAUCAUUGUUCAUUGAAUUUUCAAACAAUCAUUGUCUUUUUAAUUCUGAUCUUUUUGCUAGUCGAUGUGCCAGAAGGACCUCUUUUUUAUCUGGUGGCAUUUUUCUAUAUAAUUCACGUCUUCUUGCAUUUUUAUCGGCGUUUAUUUAUUCAGAAGUUUGAGCUUUGUUAGAACCUGUAUUACACGACCUUUUUGCAAUCCAAUUUUUUUCUUUUUUUGUAUGAAUGUUUAAAACAAAAAUGAAAACUUUAUUAGACAUUCAAUAUCAAAUACAAAUUUGUUUUGUGCUAGAGAAUAUAUUUUUAUUUUUAUUUUUAAGAUGGAAUAGAUUUUUUUUCUAAACAGCAGGAAAAAAUAACCAAACAAAUUAUUACUAAAACUAUUUAGUUAUAAUUAAAAAAAGAAAAUUAAAUAAGUCGUACUUACCACACAAUGUAAUAUAGUCAAUGACGGUCAAUUAGUUAGCACACCAAAGAGGAAACUUAAAAAUGAAUAGUUCAACAUAUAUAGUUUUAGUAUAAAUGAACAAUUAAUUGGAGAAAAAAAAAUCAUAAAAUAAACGACAAAGAUUAAAUAUUAAUAAAUGUAUGGUUCAAGGGUAAGAAUGAUAAUUCUUAUAUAAAAUAAGUAUACCUUUCUAAUGUAACUCACUAUAUGAUUAAUUUUUCUAAUGUCAUCUUGGUGCAUGAUUAAGACAGAAUGAAUUUGUAACCAUUUACUCAUAUAUUUUGGCUACAGUUUUCAGAUAAUAUCAGGAGAUAAACAAGUGCACCAUUAUCUUUAUUUCUCAACAAGAAUUGAAAAAUUGCAUUUAUAGUAAAAAUAACAAGCAUUUAUUAAUGGAAGGAUAAAAUAAAGCCAAAAAAAUAUAACGCGUUAUUUUUACAAUUAAAGAAGAAAGUAAAUUUAUUCUUACCACAUAAGUUAAUGUAGGCCUACACGUUCAGUUAGAUAUCAUCUAAGAAACGAAGCUGUAAAAUGAGAAGUUCAACAUAUUUAGUUUAAAUAAGUAGAUUGUUAAUUGGAGAAAAGAAUCAUAUAAUAAUCGAGUAGAAAGAUGAAUUAUUAAUAAAAUAUGAUUCAACUAUAUGGACGUUCACGAUGAUAUAAGUGUAGUGUACUAUUGGAUCAUGAUAAAAUAAUUUGCACAAGAAUUAGUAUAAUAGAAGAAGAUGCAAUAGAAAUCAACAAUAUAAGUGAAUACCAUAAGUAAGAGGUAUGACAACUUUCACACACACGUGUUGAUCGCCACGCGACAAAAGAUUGCAUUAACAAUACAAAAGAGAAAAAGCAAGGACAAACCAGUAAAAAUUUAUUUUUAAAAAAAAAAAAUCCGUGAUAGGCAAUCUUUGGCCUAAGAUAUCUACUGCAGGAUUCCUAAGGUGUUUUCAUUAAAAAAUGGCCAAUCAUUUGAUAUCAGCAAAUUGCAGGACCCUCUGCAUUAUAUACCUGUUGCUCUCUAUUAGUGAUAUGCUAUGUGAAGCAAGCUUGGAGAUGGGUGCAAUUAGGAAAAUGACUCAUAUUGUCAUUACCAGUAAAAAUUUUAUUUUUUUAAAAAAAAAAAAAGUGUAAACAGGCUCUUGCUCUGUGUUGAGUAUAGAUACUGUUAAGACAUUGACAUGACCAGGAAAUCAAACAUAAUGAAUUUAUAAGAACAACAAUUCUAAUCGCCUAUAUUUUACCUUUCCACUUUCGAUUUUGAAAGGAAAAAUUGAACCAAAUGGUAAAUAUUGUUGUAAUUACAGAAAGAUAAUAAUUCUAUAUCACUUUUAUAACCUUUUUUUUUUAUAUCUAUUCAAAAUCGCUUCAUAGAAAAUUAACGACUCUUAGCGAAAACCCAGCUUCUAUGCAAUCUUACCUUACAUUUCUACCAAAAGGUAUUUCCACAACUUAAAUUUGUAACCUUCUAAACACGUGACAACUUUACUCGGUUACUACAACACUUUCGUUUUGGUUGACUCUUGAAAGAUCCUUGAUUAGACCUCGCUUCUACGCAAUCUUACCUUACAUUUAUAUGAAAAGCUAUUUCUACAUCUUGUAACAGAUGAAACCAAAUCAACAGAGGAAAAGUAACAGAUUUUGGCAAUGCGGCUUUACUAUAUCAACUGUUGCCUUAAAUUCUAUUUUAACACACAUACACAUACAAAAAACACGAAAUUAAGCCGAAAAAAUUUAUUUUUAAAGGGAUACAUGCAAGAACAAGUUUCACAAGAACCAUGAAGGAAACAACUGGAGUAAAAGCAUUUUUGUCUCUUUUGAUUCAAUCCUCUAACAUGAUAAAUAUUAGUUAUAGUAAUAAAUAUGCGUACAAGCUUCUGGUCAGUCCUUCAACUUAGAAUAAGCAAAUUUUGAAGCACUUAAUGAAAAUACCGCAACUUUAAUCUUGAUCUAUAAAGCCAUCUAUCAUAUUUGAUUGUUACGUAUGCAAAAAUCGCAUUAUUUUUAAUACAUUAUCAUUUUUUUAGACCUAUAUUUGGAUCUAUAUUAUGUUGAGCAUUAACUCCCAAUAAAUUGUAAAAGGAUUUUUGAAGAUAAAGGAACUUUAAAAGCAGAGAAACAUACCUGUGAGUUUACAAAUGAGUAUUGACAAGCGUUGACCACAUUUGUGGACAUAGGCUUAUUUUUUCAAGUGAAGUUGUCUUAUAGAUUGUUUUAUUAUUAUUUUGUUGAUCUUUUUUGUAUUUGUA